UGGAUAGGUAGAAAGUGCAUCAAGAAUUGUAGUACCAGAGGGGAAAGCUGUAGGUUCAGAAAGCCAGGUGAGAGGGUACCCACCUGGGAUCCCAGCACUGGAAAGGCCCAAGGCAAGAUCAGGAGUCUGAACCAAGCCUGGGCCAUAUAGCAAGACCCUAUCUCAAAACAGCAACAAAAGAGUGCCCUGAAAAAGUCUCUGGGCCACUUCCCUACUUACGGACUGGGCUGUACUCAAGAGAUAAAGAGGAAGAAGAAGAAAAAGAAUAUAGGCAUUUAAAUGGGUGGGCACGUGGGAAGAUUCAGCUGUAGGCAACUAGAAGAGCUCUGGUGUCAAUUGCUGCUGGAUCCAGGAGGGAGCAGAGAGAACCCAUAGCUGCGGAACAGGAGGAACUUGGAGAAGUUGCAAGUUCGGGGUUUGGGGGUGGGGCAGUGUAGAAUGGAAAAUGUGUUGGAGUCACCAUGGAAGCUCCCAUUGAGCAACACUGUGCUGAAGAGCUCCUCGGCAGGAGUCCCUUUGAGAGCAUCCAUCGCAAGGGUGGCCCAGGGAAGCACAGGGCAAGUCAAGUGUCCUUCUCGGUGCUGCUUCUUUAGGGAAUGGAAAGCCCAGCUUGGAGCAGGAAUCACCUAGUGUUGGUGUCUGAGCUAGAAAAAACCAACAACAUAAAGCUCUAUGAGAAUAUGUGUUGCAGGGGGAGAACAACUCACCCUGGGUGUCCUAGAACUUAAGGGGCAUUUGGUGUAAGACGGCAGCGGACAGCCACUGUGGUGGCCCGCAACCCCAGCUCUGGACCCGCUAAAGGUAGCACAUAUUGCGAUAGCUGCCUGAGGCCCGAGGGAAAGGAUCCUAAAUUUCAUUAAGGAAGCUAAUUUGAAAGCCUCCGUCACCAUUAGAGAUCCUAUAUUCCAGAACUAUUAAAAUGUACUCACUUGCUCCAGAAACACUCCUUCCCCUAAAUGAAAGCAUGUCUGAGAUGUGCCUCCGGCUCUUCACCCCUCCCUAUGUGAACGUGAACAAUGCUCCAAGUCUCAUCUCUGCUCAGAUCCCUCCCUAAUGUGACUCUUAGCCAGUCUCUAAACAGCCUCACCUAACACCUUCUAGCUUUAAAACAGGUCCCCCAGCUCUCCAUAUCCUACCAGACUCUGGUCUCAUCCUGUGCACCCCAAUUCUAGCCUUUCUCUGAAUUCCAUGCAGUCCCCACCCUAUCACAACUGGUAGAGCUCUGAUUUUUUUUUUUUUUCAAUUUAUCUCCAAAGGCAACAUCACAUAACACUAUCAUUUGCAACCCCAAACUACUGGAAUUCUUAACCCAGUGCUCACAGAUUCUCACCUGGACCCCCGUAGGAAGCUGGUAGCAGAACAUUGUACCCAACUUCCUGUCUAAACCUUCUGAGUAAGAGACAUGAUGAAUGCUGGGGUCUGCCCCCCCCCCCGACCCUCUACCACCAUGUUUGCAAGCAGCAUCCCCCUCAUCUUAGCCAGGUAACAGUUUUCAGACCACACUAGUCACCUCUAUGAUGUUGGGGCCACCCUCAUCCAUCACCAUGCAAGCGAACUCUCUAUUGAGUAAAACAGAGCUGUCCUUUCCUGAACACACACAUUAUUCCAGUGCCUGUAAAUUUUCUGUGGAGCGCAUGGCCCACCAAUUCUAACCCCUCAAGUUCCAAGUCUCUUCUAAACAGAUCAGUCUCCCUAGCUCCUGAGAUUGGCCCAUCCUGAUACACCACUAUCCUUAGAUAAUUUCCCUUACCCUGCUGAGGCCAGGUGUCUGUUCCUUGGUACCCCUCAGGGUCUGACUCUCAUUCUGCUCCAGGUAUCAAGGACCACUAAAACAGCAAAGAAAUUGUCCGUGCUGUAAACACUGGACAGACCUCUCACCACUGGACAUAUUCACAACUCACUCUCCUCAUCUCUAAAUGCCACAUAGUAAUACUAAGAGGGACUUAACCUGCACUCCUAAGAAGCAUGGUAUGAUACAGAUCCUUAGAGCAUGCUCCAGGGUCAUGCUACCCUACUCAGGCCAUCCAAACUCCAAACUACUCAGCUUAGUUCCAGGGAGCUUGUAGAAAGAAGGAAUUCCAACUAGCACAACUUCCCUCAAAUUAUCAGCUGAGUUGGAAGCAGGGCAUGGUAGCUCAAACAGAAGGAAGACAUCUGUUCUCAAAGGUCGAUAUAGGCAGGGUUGACUGACAUGGCUUUGGAGCUAAAUCCUGAAGUGAUCUGAGCCUGAGAAAGAGGCCAGUCAAGACCUCUGCAGUUAGAUGAACACUUGGGAAUUCUAUUGUCCUUUGUGGAGCCCAAGACACCUACCCAUCAUCCUGAGAAGCCCCCAGGGAGUGCUGAGGCUGACCUGAAGCAAAGACACAGUAUAUGGCCAAGUGUAGGGGUUGGGUAUCUCAGAUUUACGAGCCCAGUGUAAGUUGAAGACAAGUGUUAAGUUUGGUCCUCUUUCUUAGCAUAUUGUACUAGCCCCUGUUGGGUGUUUCAUGGAGCUAAUUAAUCCCAGCUUCUGGCAUUCCAUAGAUAUAUUUACUUUGUACGUGUUAAAUCAUUCAGGAAGAGAAGAGACUCGGGCUAUUUACUUCAUCUUCACAGACAAAUAUAAAGACACGAGCUGAGAGAUUCAGUGCUAUUUUGCUUCCUGUGUUUCUCCAUGUGGGUGGAAUAGAGGGGGCCAGUUUUGUCUUCUAGACUGAACCCAUCUGUGCACCAUGUUGAGGCUGCCAACGGGAAUAGGCAUGACCUGGUGGCUUCUAGAACAAGCUUUCUGGUCUUUGGGGUUCCGGGUGAUAAGAAAUUGACCUGAGGUUGUCUCCAUGUCUUCCCACACAUGAGACAUAACAGGCAAAUCACAGCCCGAGAGAAGGAGGUGGAAAUGUCCCUACAUAGGCGUUCCUUCAGUAUGGAGCCACACACCAUUAAAUAAAUUCAUUUCCAGAAACUUCUGCUCCUUGAGCAGGAUCCCUAACAUGAAGUCUUAGAGCAAAGAAAG
rnacentral:lncRNA from 1 species